rnacentral:ribozyme from 1 species
UUGGAGAAGGAUGGUCAUGAAUCAGGAGCUUUAUACGGACGGGUGGGCACGGCACAAGAAUAAAUCGUGCUCACAACACUUAGUAAUAAUUAUUAUUCGGGAUUGGCCACAGCUGUAAGUAAGUGAAAGUUGCUGUGUGUUCUUCUUUCUUUCUUUCUUUCUUUCUCUCUCUCGGUGAAAUAAAAUAAAAUUCUUC